CAUCAUUUUGCUUCUAGAGCCCUUUGAGGACGCCAUUCAGUCUCAGUCACAGGGACAAACAGAGUUCCAGGUGUCUUGUCUUCAUAAGGCUGCCUCAGUGGAUAACGUCAGUCCUCUACUCGUGCGCUCGUUGGCCUUUUGGGCACAGGAGGAGCUGGAAGGCCAGCAAUGGUACCAUGGCAAAAUGAGCCGCCGCGACGCUGAAAAUACUGAAAAUAGAUGGGGACUUUCUGGUUCGGAAGAGCACCACCAGCUCUGGAUCCUACGUUCUGACAGGCAUGCACAACGGACUUGCCAAACACCUCCUGCUGGUGGACCCUGAGGGCACGGUACGGACAAAAGAUCAUAUAUUUGACAGCAUCAGCCACCUUAUUGGCCAUCACCGUGACAACAGUCUGCCGAUCGUGUCAACUGGAAGUGAACUGUGUCUCCGACAGCCAGUCACAAGGAAACAGUGACCCUUGCGAAGCCUGAUGGGGAAACACACGUAGGACUCUCCGAAUUGUCUCCAACCAUCCUGAAACUUGAAGACAAACCACGAUGAGAAGAUGCUUAACAUCUCGCCACGAUAGAGAGCGUGUUUAGAGAGGGGUGGGGGGGGGGGCAUCAGCCUUUGGUCACUUUUCCAGGUGUCACUCGCUGGAAGAUUUGUUUAAAGAUAAAAAAAAACAUAAUAAUAUUUAUAGAACUGUUAUUUUGUUGUGACGACUGAAAUGCUAUAUUUUUGAGAAGACAUAGGUGCAUUUGGACACAAUAUCUUGAUUUGGUGUUUUAAAAAGAGACAAAAAAAAAUUGUCUUGUAGUUUAGAUGAAGUGCGAAUCAAACCUCAAAGAGGUGAUUACAAGAGUAUUUUAGAAUAAAUAAGCCAGAAAUAUUAGUUUUGUCUGUCAAGCACAAACACGUUUCUACAGCUGCAGUUGGCUAAGAGUUUGAAGUGGAGAGUGUUUCAAACUAAUUCUGUUUACAUGAAUCACUUUGAGAAAGUUGACCUUUGACCUGCUCAGCAGCGCGAUGGCUCACACAUAAAAUCUGCUUUUUGUUGGGGGAGUGCACUUGAAUGUGUUUUUUGCUUUGCAGUUUUGAGGUGCAAACAGACAUUCUUCAUAGUGCUGUCAAUGGCUUUAAAGAGAAACUU